rnacentral:rRNA from 1 species
GAUGAACGCUGGCGGCGUGCCUAAUACAUGCCAGUCGAGCGAACAGACGAGGAGCUUGCUCCUCUGACGUUAGCGGCGGACGGGUGAGUAACACGUGGAUAACCUACCUAUAAGACUGGGAUAACUUCGGGAAACCGGAGCUAAUACCGGAUAAUAUAUUGAACCGCAUGGUUCAAUAGUGAAAGACGGUUUUGCUGUCACUUAUAGAUGGAUCCGCGCCGCAUUAGCUAGUUGGUAAGGUAACGGCUUACCAAGGCAACGAUGCGUAGCCGACCUGAGAGGGUAAUCGGCCACACGGAAACGGAGACACGGUCCAGACUCCAACGGAGGCAGCAGUAGGGAAUCUUCCGCAAUGGGCGAAAGCCUGACGGAGCAACGCCGCGUGAGUGAUGAAGGUCUUCGGAUCGUAAAACUCUGUUAUUAGGGAAGAACAAAUGUGUAAGUAACUAUGCACGUCUUGACGGUACCUAAUCAGAAAGCCACGGCUAACUACGUG